rnacentral:tRNA from 1 species
GGGGAUUUAGCUCAGUGGCACAGCAUCUGCCUGGCAAGCACAAGGUCCUGAGUUUUCAAUCCCCG